GAACUAUUUAUAAAUAUGUUUUGAAAACAUGUUUAGAGGUAACUCGUAGUUUU
rnacentral:tRNA from 1 species